rnacentral:pre_miRNA from 1 species
AAACAAAUCCCCCAGGAAUCUUGUUAAAAUGCAGAUUCUGAUUUAGUUAGCCUGGGGCGGACUUGAGAUUCUACAUUUUUAACAAACUCUCAGGUGAUGGCACU